AGUCCCUGGAGAGGUCUCACCCCUUACCGAGAUGCACUCAGGGCCCAUUAGGCACUGUUCCAGGCACUGAUGAUACGGUAAUGAAGUAAAAGGGGAUGAAUUAAUGGACCAGCUCAAAGACUAUCAUCUACAGCCUGCACAACUGAAUGGUGCACUUGAGAUGAGGAGAAAUAUGAGCCUUCUUUAUCUAGUAAGGAGAGCUUCAGCUCCACUUCCUGGGCGAUUGGUACCAUCCUUGCCAUGCUGCGUGGACUGGGGCUCUUCCUUGUGUUCCUUCCCUACCUCCAGAGUAAUCCAUCCUUAUGACCACCUGGGAAACGGAGAAACACCAGGAAGGUAAGAAACCCUUGGCAGAGACCCACCAGAAGAUGAUUCUCCCUUCUUUUCUGCUAUGAUUUCCACUUUUGUGAAUCAACUAGAGGGUCUCCCGGGAUGGGAAAGAACAGAACAUCGUCCUUCUAGGGACAAGCCAG